rnacentral:rRNA from 1 species
AAGAAUUAUUUUAUUAUGUUUUUUAUUUUAUUAUUUUUAAUAAAAAUAUUUUUUAUUUUAGUAUUUUUGAAUAAAUAUUAUUUAAUUAUAGUUAAUUUUACUGUGAAGGAUUAUUUUUAUUUUAUAAAAAAGUAUUUUUUGUUUGAAGUACCUUUUGCAUCAGGGUUUAUUAAAAUGUUAAAAUAAUCUUUUUUUCUCGAAAUUUUAAGAUUUAAGAUUAAAUGUUAGUUUUUGUUACAAAAUAAUUUAUAAUUUUUUCUUAGAGGUUAUAUGCUUUUCAUUUAAAAUGAUAUCUAGUUCACUAAUAUUUGAAUUUAAUUCAUUUUUAAUAUUGCUUUAUUUUAAUUUUAUUAUUUAAAGUUUAUUAAUUAAAGAUUUAUGGGGAUAAGCUCAUAUUUUUUAUUAAAAAUUUUUGUUUUAUUAAAUUUUUUGUAGGAUUAAUAAUUUCCAUCUUUAUUUUGUUAUAAUUAUUUUUUUAUUUUAAUGAUUUUUUAUUAUUUUAAUUUUUUAUUAGUGUUUUUAUUAUAAUUUUAUAUAUUGAUUAAUAAUGAUAUAAUUAGUAAUUUUUAUAAUUUGAGAAUAGUAAUUCGGCAAAUUUUAUUUUCACCUGUUUAACAAAAACAUGUUCUUUUGAUUUUAAUUUAAGAUCAGGCCUGCCCAUUGAUUUUUUUGAAUUAAAAGGCUGCGGUAUUUUAACUGUACGAAGGUAGCAUAAUCAUUUGUCUUUUAAUUGAAGGCUAGUAUGAAUGGUUUGAUGAAAAAUAAACUUUCUUUUUUCAAUUGUUUUGAAUUUAAUUUUUUAGUUAAAAAGCUAGAAUUUUUUUAUAGGACGAGAAGACCCUAUAGAAGUUAACUUUAUUUAUUAAUUUUUAUUUUUUGUUAAUUAAAUAAUUUUUUAGAAUAUAAAGUUUUGUUGGGGUGACAUUGAAAUUUAUUUAACUUUUAAUAUUUUUGUUCAUUAAUUUAUGUUUUUUUGAUCCAAAAUUUUUGAUUAUAAGAUUAACUUACCUUAGGGAUAACAGCGUAAUUUUUUCGGAGAGUUCAUAUCGAUGAAAAAGUUUGCGACCUCGAUGUUGAAUUAAGAUAAGAUUUGGGUGUAAAAUUUCAAUUUUCUUGGUCUGUUCGACCA